UACGGAAGGCAGCAGUGGGGAAUAUUGCACAAUGGGCGAAAGCCUGAUGCAGCUAUGCCGCGUGUAUGAAGAAGGCCUUAGGGUUGUAAAGUACUUUCAUCGGGGAGGAAAAACAAAACUAAUAAUUUUAUUUCUUGACGUUACCCGAAAAAGAAGCACCGGCUAACUCCGUGCCAGCAGCCGCGGUAAUACGGAGGGUGCUAGCGUUAAUCAGAAUUACUGGGCGUAAAGAGCACGUAGGUGGUUUUUUUAAGUCAGAUGUGAAAUCCCUGGGCUUAACCUAGGAACUGCAUUUUGAAACUGAAAUACUAGAGUAUCGUAGAGGGAGGUAGAAUUCUAGGUGUAGCGGUGAAAUGCGUAGAUAUCUGGAGGAAUACCUGUGGCGAAAAGCGGCCUCCUAAACGAAUACUGACACUGAGGGUGCGAAAGCGUGGGGAGCAAAACAGGGAUUAGAUACC
rnacentral:rRNA from 1 species